CGCCUGACCAAAUUUUAAUCAUGUACCGUUGCGUCACACCACGGACUAAACCCAAAUUUUGGUCUUUUUUUUGAUCUUUGAUCUUUGGUUUUGAUCGCACCACUGCAGUUGCUCUUAGACACUAUUAAUGAACAGUGAAUGAAGCUGCAAAUUGAAAAACCCGAAAUUGCCCUUGAUUUUAGAACACUAUCAAAAAUAUCAUCCAAAUUAAGUGAGGCUAAAAUAGUAAAUAUGUAAACUAAUCACAGCUAAAGAGAGAAUAAAGGGAAAAUAGGUCAGGUGUUCAAGGGUCCCAUGAAAGGAAAAACCAGAGCACGUGUGAAGCACGUGCAUGCUUACUUGUCCACCAAAAUGAAAACAUUGUCUACCAAACUUGCAGCAAAAGAAAGAAAAAUAACAAGCUAAAAUUCUGUGAAGAAAAAACAAAAAGAGAUAAUGGCAAUGCAGUGAUUACAUCAAGCGGACUGCUUGAAUGCCUUCCUUCGCAGUAGCCUUUCUUCCCUCCCCGAAAUUACAGUUCCUUCUGUCCAUCAUCCAUCUUUACUCCAACUACAUUUGGCAGAAUUUCCGGGUUGUGUUUUUCCAGUUUCUAGAAUCAUGAAAUGAAAUAAUUAGUCUUUUGUAAACAAAAGUUACAGGUCUAUAAAAGAAAGGAGAAGAAAAUAUAGACUGCUCACUUUGAUUAUAUAUUCUCGGAGUUCCAGAAGCUCCAUAUCAUUUUGAUUAAUCUUAUCACCGAGAGUACGUGCCUGUUACAUAAGCAACAAUAAAUAAUUUACAAAUAUCUUCGUAUAAAUCAAAAAAUGAUGAAUGAGGAUGUAAAAAUCCUGAACUAUCAUAGUUGCUGGGAAAUCAUAUUAAUGACACCGACAAAUCAGUAUGUUCCAAUGAUAUAAUCAUAUUAUUAAUGAUAAGGAAUAGUUGCAGGGAAGGAUAAAUAAAAUAUUUCCUGUGAAGAAAGUCUAAGAAAGUCUUCUUUUCAGUAUAAACAAGUCUAAUACCUUCUUUACUAAUACCUUUUUUUUAGUAUAUACUCAUGAAAGACCAAACAAGUCUGCAUAUCAUAAUACCUUCUUUUUAGUAUAUAUAUAUAUAUAUACUCAUAAGUUUACUAAUUAUAAUCCCAAAGUUUUAUUUUUCUCCCAAAGAAAAAUAGACCAUAAUUCUUAAUUUACUCUAAAAUAAUUAUUUUUCUUGUAUAUUCUAAUUAUGCAUUGGUUAUAUUUAAAUCGACAGCCUUGUGUAAUCUCUUUUCGCCUCAACGAAGUCUAAUUUCAAAAAUAAUAUAAAAAAAUUGCUUCUAAUUGUCAAUGCAUGAAUAAUGUUAUUAAGAAGAUAAACAAAAUAACUUGUUCACAAAUAACUUCUAAUUAUGCUAGAAGUUUUUUUUUUAAUCAUUAAGUAAACAUGUUACCUUUUCCUUCUCCGUGUUGAUCCUUUCUCCAAUGGAUGACAGAAGUGUUUGCGAUUCCGCGAUCAGUCUCUUGAUUUCUUCAUAAAACAACACCAAGCAAUGAGUUUAUAUUAAUAUCAUUCCAAAAAUAGGAAAGUUCAUAAUUUUCGAUCUACACUGAAUAAAACAGUUUGAAAUAUCAAUUGUUUCAUACCGUUCGCCCUAGCAGAAGAAUCCAUCUCAAAGAUUUUUUUGUUUCGAACAAACAUCGAAGGAAUAAGAUUGCUUGACAAUUUUUGGGAGAAAAAACUCAUAAUAUUGCUUGAAAAUUUUAGCCAAGGAAUAAGAUUGAUUCUUUAUAAAUAGAUUGAAAAUUGAAAUUCCCCAACAGUCAUGACUCCUCGUUUAUGCAACCCAAUGGUUAAAUUACAUUGAAUUGUGACUCUUUAUGUAGUUGGACUACUUCGGAGAUUGGCCUCGUGGUAAAGGUAUUGACGGAAAAAACUCGUAAGAUUGCUUGAAAAUUUUAGCUAAGGAAUAAGAUUGCUAUUGAAAAUUGAAAUUCCCCAACAGUCAUGACUCCUCGUUUAUGCAACUCAAUGGUCAAAUUACAUUGAAUUGUGACUCUUUAUGUAGUUGGACUACUUCGGAAAUUGGCCUCAUGGUAAAGGUAUCUGGGAAAAAUCCUCCAAAGACUUUCAAAGGAAGAAAAUUGACUGUCGGCCGGGCUUGAACUGGGGAAUCCUCAACCGUUCGUUAGUGGAUCGCAUCAGCCGUUGGAUUAGAAACUCUAGAUAAGACUAUAAAUACCAACAACUUACCAGCAGAAACCCUAUUAUUUUUUUUCUCCUUUUUCGUCGUAGCUCACUCCAUCCUUCUCUCUCUCUCUGCAAACAAAAUCAUUUCCUUCUAUCUGAAGAGUAACAAGAAUCUAUUGCUAUAAUCAAAAUCACUUGAUCUCAGAUUGGAAGGUAUUGCGCUACUUUGGAGUUUAAUCUUAAUCGAGCAAGGUAUUGCGUUAACUUCGGAGUUUAAUCUUAAUCGAGCAAGAAUAAGUGGGCGUUUGCCCUAUCAAGCAAACAUGUAUCGGGAUCUUUUGACAGGGGUGCUCUAUUUGGAUACAUGACAAAUAUGUAUAAUAUUGAUAAACUGCCUGCUCCUCUGAGUGUUGAUUAGAAUUAUGCCUUCCCAUAUAUCUUCGAACCUUACAUGUUUUUUACUUGCAUCAGUCGUGAUGACGCAACUAUUUUCUAUCACCGGGAUAACCCUGUAUACCCACUUGUCAGUAGACUUCGAGAGGAUAAAUCUGAAGCUGUCACAACCAAAUACAAAGAUAAAGCUCAAGGAGUUGUUGUGGAAUGCAAGAGAAAAUAUUACUAGUCCAGGAAAAAAAACUAGAUUUUAUGUCUGAUAGAGAGGGGACGACAGAGGAAAGAAAUGCUUACUUGGAGCACAUGGGGCAAGGAAUAUAAUGUGUGGAGUAGUCUCACAACGGGUGAGGGAGUUUCAUCGCCUAACAGACUCCAAUAGGUGAGUUUCAUCGCCUAUUGGAGUUGAAUGAACAUAAGUUCAAAACCAACUUUAAAGGAAACACAUCAAUUCAGUGAUCCAAGGUGAAUUUUCCAUUUGAAAAGAUUGCUCUCUGUUGUUGGUUGAUGUAGAACAUGAGCUUAGGUUAAAGAUGGUACAGGAAAGAAAUGCUCACUUGGAAGAUAUAGUGUGAAACUUCAAAUGGGCUAGCACGUCUGGCCAGGGUUAUCCCUGUGAUAGAAUAUAAUUAACUUUCUUCUACCACCGGGUAAUCCUGGCUGGAAAUGCAAGUCCCUAAAACUAUAUGAAUUUGUUGAAAAACUUUACUAAAUCCAUGUGGAUGUUUCCUACGCUUGCUGAAUCAGAUUCAGGUUACCUCAAAAGUAGCCGUAAUUUUGGAGAUAGUAUUAAUUGAGUGGUUUUGAUAAUAUCCUUGUGCAGACUCCCAAUAAUUUUGUGGUUGAUUUAAAGGUGUUUUAAUACAACUCCGCAGUGUUCACUUGUAUUUUAUUCAACUUAUUAUUGUUAUUCCCUUUCAGUUUCAAUGAAAUGCUAUUAAUGUCUUUGCUGACUGCA